AGAAAACUGAAUCAAUUUGACUGUAUGAUCUGGUUGAACUGUAAAGUGCCUUGAGAUUACAUGUGAUGUGAAUUAGUGCUAUAGAAAUAAACUGAAUUGAAUUGAAUCGCAGGCAUGGAUAAAAAGAUGCUGGGUUUGGAAGCGGAGAACAUAGUUCAUGCAAACCAUGGAGGAUCCUAGUAAUCCCUGUUACAAAAAUCCACAACAAAAAUGAUUUGGGUAGAAACUGCACAUAUGCUGAAUGCAUAAUGUCAUAUUAACUUGAGCGUUCAUUACAUGUUUUGCUCCUAUGAAUUUAAUGAAAUGGCGCAUGCUCUCCUCCAGCCCCGAGGAAGUCUGAGCAGAGCAAUACGGGAGGAACGGCGGAGCCUGUAGGCUUUGCUUUGAGUCUGGAGGAUGUGGGAUUUCAGGGUUAUAGAUCCAUUAGUGUUUCUAUGAGGUAAUUAUGGUUUUAAAUGAAUAAACUCCUAAAGUUUAGUUUAUCAAAAAAAUAGAUCAGGUCAACAGUUAAUAUGGGAAUGUUAUGGCCUGUAAGAUAACAGGGAACACUGACUCAGCAGUUAUCCAGUCAGUUAUACAAACAAGGGAAGCCACAAAAGGUCAAGCUUGGUUUCUAGAGUGAAAAGCCAAUUUAUGACAAAUAUAUGGUGUGAACCCUGGUGGUCUGAGUUUUCAGGGCUACUUGUUCAGAAGCCUAAAGUUUUUCUUUUAAGCUGCAAGACAUGAAAUUAAAAGGCUAUAUAUCAGAAAUACAACUUUAUCUGAACCAAAUAUCAGUCUUAAGCACUUAAAUUCACCAAUAUUUGCAUGAAAUGUGGAAUGAACACUACUUUUCACAAUCUUGGCUUAACUAAUGCUACUGUAUAUAUUGCGAUGCAUAAUUGCUGUGGUUUCAAAAAAAACAAAAAGCUGACAUUAAAACUCAAACUAAUGUUCCAAACCAUUUUAUUAAAACUACUAAACUGACUCAUUUGCUCUCGUUUUGCUUCUAACCAAUAAAAAGUCAGGUGUUUUUACCGCCUUUACAAAACAGCCAGUCACACUCUGAUUGGUGGCAAACAAUGAACUUAGUUUUUAUUUUGUCUGUCAGUUUUGACAUGCCAUUAGGUUCAUUGCAUUAAAACAUUUGCCAGUAAUUCUAAACAAAAAGAGGUCUGGCAACUUCUACAAUAGUCCUUGAUUAGUGUUGAUUUUUCCAGUCAGAAAUCAGAUAAAGCACCUAACAUGCUUUGGGCAAUAUAUAUUUACAAACGUCCCAAAUAGUUAGGCACCAAACUAUACAAAAAACUAUACAGCUACACUGGAAAAAGAUUUGAAUAAAUACAGCCCAAUACUCAUUUGAUUGCAACAAAUACACUUUUUACAAAAAUUAAAAAAAGCUCCCUUCAAAGCAUUCCCCCUUUAACAUUUAAAAAAAUAAAGGCAAAAGUAAAAUUCCUUCCAAGUUGAUGACAGUCUUAACAGGGAUAUAUAUCCUUAUACAUACAGCUCCCUUUUACAGCUUAAUACAACAGAAAAGCUGCAAUUAAAGCCAAAGACAUCAGUGCUGUGCACCAUUUAAUGUCCAACAAAUUAGGAUUUCUUCCCUUGUUUUUUCCACAGUAAACAUAAUUUCUUGUUACAUUCUAUAAAGGUUGAUUUAACACUGAUUUACCUCUGAAAUUAAAAGGCAGGGGUGUCCAACUCACACCCCCAAAGAUAAGUAUUAAAUGCCCUCAGCAUGUUAACUAGUUGUGCAUUAACCUGUGAAAUACUUGUUCACUUGAUUAAAUAGUUUUAAACCACAGAACAAUGUGAAAACUAACUUUAAACAGAACCUUUAAAGCCUUCCUGAGAACACGGACAACUUUAAAUUCAAGUGUUUUUCCUUAAUUGUGCAAGUGUAACCCAAAGUAAAAAAA